UACGUAGGUGGCAAGCGUUGUCCGGAUUUAUUGGGCGUAAAGCGCGCGCAGGUGGUUUCUUAAGUCUGAUGUGAAAGCCCACGGCUCAACCGUGGAGGGUCAUUGGAAACUGGGAGACUUGAGUGCAGAAGAGGAUAGUGGAAUUCCAAGUGUAGCGGUGAAAUGCGUAGAGAUUUGGAGGAACACCAGUGGCGAAGGCGACUGUCUGGUCUGUAACUGACACUGAGGCGCGAAAGCGUGGGGAGCAAACAGG
rnacentral:rRNA from 1 species